GAUGAACGCUGGCGGCGUGCCUAAUACAUGCAAGUCGAGCGAACAGACGAGGAGCUUGCUCCUCUGACGUUAGCGGCGGACGGGUGAGUAACACGUGGAUAACCUACCUAUAAGACUGGGAUAACUUCGGGAAACCGGAGCUAAUACCGGAUAAUAUAUUGAACCGCAUGGUUCAAUAGUGAAAGACGGUUUUGCUGUCACUUAUAGAUGGAUCCGCGCCGCAUUAGCUAGUUGGUAAGGUAACGGCUUACCAAGGCAACGAUGCGUAGCCGACCUGAGAGGGUGAUCGGCCACACUGGAACUGAGACACGGUCCCGACUCCUACGGGAGGCAGCAGUAGGGAAUCUUCCGCAAUGGGCGGAAGCUUGACGGAGCAACGCCGCGUGAGUGAUGAAGGUCUUCGGAUCGGAAAACUCUGUUAUUAGGGAAGAACAAAUGUGUAAGUAACUAUGCACGUCUUGACGGUACCUAAUCAGAAAGCCACGGCUAACUACGUG
rnacentral:rRNA from 1 species